rnacentral:lncRNA from 10 species
AUUGAAGCUGAAGGUGGAUUGCUGUUGGGUGGAAAGGAUGUAGUCACUCAAAAAUGCUGCCAGAAGAAGAGCAAGAGAAAAGAACAAUAGCUUCUCCCGUGAGACAAUCUCAUCCCUCCACUAGUGUCUUCUCUUGGAAUGAUCUAUUGUGCUCUGAGUGGGUAGAAAACAUGAUGGCAAGUGUAUGGUGCUGAAUCAAGGUAAAAGAGGAAAUGAUUAUGUACUCACAGAGGGUGGAACAUAAAGGUGAUUGGAAAGAAUCAGGAUGUCAGAUUGUGUUGGAUUAGUCUUCCAGCCUUCACUGAGGUCUACAGUAUAGAUACUGGAUUGGCUUAAAUUGAACGUUCUGCAAAUAAGAGAAGGUAUAUUCUUGUCCAAGAGGAUGUGGUAUCUACAUAUAGGAGGAAAGAUAUACGUGUACAUGUGGUGGCUGAACCAUUUGAUUGUGGAUCAGGAUACAUAAGCAGCAAGUUCAAAGACUGAAGGAACAAGGAAUAUCAGCUCAUAAAGAUGAGAAAGAAUCAGAGCAAGAACUCUGGCAACUCAAAAGCCAAGGUGUCUUCUUACCUCCAAACAACCAUAUUAUUUCGUUAGCAACGAUUCUUAACCAGACUGAGAUUGCUGAAGUAACAUAAGCAGAAUUCAAAUAUAGAUAGAAAUGAAGAUCACUGACAUACUGGAGGAAAUCAAAACCCAAUUCCAGGAUUUUUAAGAUUUUUGUUUUUUGAGAUGGAGUCUUGCUCUGUUGUUGCCCAGGCUGGAGUGCAGUGUUGCGGUCUCGGCUCACUGCAACCUCCGCCUCCCGGGUUCAAGCGAUUCUUCUGCCUCAGCCUCCCGAGUAGCUGGGACUACAGGCAUGUGCCACCACACCUGGCUAAUUUUUGUAUUUUUAGUAGAGAUGGGGUUUCACCAUAUUGGCCAGGCUGGUCUCGAACAUCUGACCUUAUGAUCCACCUGCCUCAGCCUUCCAAAGUGCUGGGAUUACAGGCACAGUCGGCCAAUAUUUUUAUAUACCAGAUUAUGUCACUAGUAAAUAGAGAUAAUUUCACUGUCUCCUUUUCAAUCUGGAGGCAUUUUCUUCCUUCCUUUUUCCCUUCCCUUCUCUCCCCUCCCCUCCCCUUCCCUCCUGUUUUUCUUUCUACUUACUUUCUUACUUUUGCCUCUUUGUCUUGGUUAGAAUUUCCAGUAUGAUGUUAAAUAACAAUGGAAAGAGCAGUUAUCCUUGUCUUGUUCCUCAUUUUAGAGGCUUAACCCUGGAGUUUUUGUCUAUGCCCCUUGUGAAGUUUAAAAAGUUUUUCCCAAUCAUAGUUUGUUGAUGGUUCUUAUAAUGACAGAGCAUUUGAUUUGAUUAAGUGGUUUUUUCUGCUUUUAUUGCAAUGAUGUUGUGAUUUUUGCUUUUUAACUAUUGAUAUGGUGGGUUACAUUGAUUGAUUUCAGAUAUUAAGCCAACUUUGCAUUUCUGGGAAUAAUCCCACUGGUUGAUGAUGGAUAAUCUUUUUUAUAUGUUACUAGACUCAUUUUUCCAGUAUUUUGGCGAGGAUUUUUGCAUCUAUGUUGGUCUAUAGUUUUCUUUUACUGUGUACCUUUGCUUCUGAUAUUGAGGCAAUAAUGGUCUCAAAGGAUUAGUUGAGAAUUGUUUUCUUCUUUAAUUUUUGGGAGAGUUUGUAAAAAAUGUGUAUUAAUACUUCUUUAUAUGUUUGGGCUUUUAUUUCAUUUUUAAGAUUUAGCAUGCAAAUUAUGAAAGUUCAAAUUUAAAUCCCUUGUGCUUUCUUAAUCUUUUAAACUUAGAUUAUAAAUCUUAUUAUAUUUUCAAGUAUUGCAGUCAGCUUGUACAUAAUAUGAACAAUGUUUUGUCCUAUUUAAACAGUUUAAUUACUUUCACAUUUCAAAACAUAAUUAUACAUUCUAUAUGUUUGAUUUUCUCCAUAAAUUUCAUUGUCUGAUUAGAUAGAAAAUCUACCAUAUUAUUAUAUAAUUCUUAUAAAUGCAAUAAAUAACUUUAUGAAUACAGUGAAUGCAAAAUUCUUUUAGGUGAUCCAACACUCUAA